GACGAACGCUGGCGGCGUGCUUAACACAUGCAAGUCGAACGGAAAGGCCCCUUUGGGGGUCCUCGAGUGGCGAACGGGUGAGUAACACGUGAGUAACCUGCCCUUGACUUCGGGAUAACUUCAGGAAACUGGGGCUAAUACCGGAUAGGAAUCCUUGCUUCAUGGUGGGGGUUGGAAAGCUUCGGCGGUUUUGGAUGGACUCGCGGCUUAUCAGCUUGUUGGUGGGGUAGUGGCUUACCAAGGCUUUGACGGGUAGCCGGCCUGGGAGGGCGACCGGCCACAUUGGGACUGAGAUACGGCCCAGACUCCGACGGGAGGCAGCAGUGGGGAAUAUUGCACAAUGGGCGGAAGCCUGAUGCAGCAACGCCGCGGGCGGGAUGACGGCCUUCGGGUUGUAAACCGCUUUCAGCAGGGGCGAAGCUUGUGGUGACGGUACCUGCAGAAGAAGCACCGGCUAACUACGUG
rnacentral:rRNA from 1 species